CCUACGGGAGGCAGCAGUGGGGGAUAUUGGACAAUGGGGGGAACCCUGAUCCAGCGACGCCGCGUGAGUGAAGAAGUAUCUCGGUAUGUAAAGCUCUAUCAGCAGGGAAGAAGAAAUGACGGUACCCGAGUAAGAAGCCCCGGCUAACUACGUGCCAGCAGCCGCGGUAAUACGUAGGGGGCAAGCGUUAUCCGGAAUUACUGGCUGUAAAGGGAGCGUAGGCGGUGAUGUAAGUCUGGGGUGAAAGGCGGGGUCCGAACCCGCGGACUGCCCUGGAAACUAGGUGACUGGAGUGCAGGAGAGGUGAGCGGAAUUCCAAGUGUAGCGGUGAAAUGCGUAGAUAUUAGGAAGAACACCAGUGGCGAAGGCGGCUCUCUGGACUGUAACUGACGUUGAGGCUCGAAAGCGUGGGGAGCAAACAGGAUUAGAUACCCUAGUAGUC
rnacentral:rRNA from 1 species